rnacentral:lncRNA from 1 species
GUGCCUUGUGUCGAAAGUCUUCCUGGCGAAUGGUAGUUAGGCGGCGUGUCCCGUUGGGUGAUAACGGCGGUACAAGAUGUUUGGCAGAUCAUGUGAAGUGACCUAGUAGUUGAGAUCUACGGUUGAUGCCUCAUAUCGAAAGUCUUCUUGACAAGUGAUGGUCAAGCGGCGUGUCCCACUGGUUGGUAGUGGCGGUACGAGGAGGUCACAAGUGAUGUGAUCUUGGUUUGAGGGGGGAUUAUUGAGUAGCAAACACAAUCUCACAUCGAAAAAAUAGAGGG